CUGAAAUGGGAGCACCUGGAGAUGGUACAGAGGUUUGAGGAGGAGCAGAAGUGUGCAGAGAAACGAGAAGGAAGCACUCUGAGAGUAGCAGGAGAGCAGCACUUGGAAGCAGAAAGAAGCAGCAUUGACAAUGAAGGUCAACCACAGAGAACAGUUACUGCUCUUCUUUCUGCUAAGAUUCAGGGAAGCUGCACCUUUGCUUAAGGGCCGGUAGGCCAGACUCCUACCAAAUUGGUCAAAUGGAUGUCAGAUGAAGGAGAGCUGUUCAUAAGGACAUGUGCUGUCCUA